GAGUACCACCGCUGUGUACUGACCUGGCAUCAUCAGGAACCCCUGCCUUGGGCACAGAGUACAGGAAAUCAAAUGAGUAGUCGCCUAAUGAGCAUGCGCAGUGCCAACGGCCUUCUGAUGUUGCCUCCUAAGACAGAGCAAUACGUGGAGCUGCACAAAGGCGAGGUGGUGGACGUGAUGGUCAUAGGGCGGCUAUGAUGAAAUCAAAGCAGAAAAGAGAAAUGUGGUGCAUGUCCACAUAUCAUUUAUUAUAUUGUAAUAUGCAACGGCACAGUUAUUUUUGAUUUUUUUUUUUUCCCCCCUAUUUGGACAAAAGUUACCGAAGUAUUCUCAUCGCAAACGAUCAAAUCAUGUCAAUGGAAAUGUUGUGUUGGGGGAACAAAAAAGCCUGGUGUUGUAUGCGUUCACACAACGCAACAUAACAUUUAAAAGCAUCUUUGCAGACGUUCCAGCAGCUCAUUUCAUUUCGGUUUCAUGGUUGACUCAUAGAAAACAUUCUUCCUGUCCUUUUGAUCAGUUUUCUGGGUAACGAAACCCCCAUUGUCUCCACUUGUUAAUAAUGGCUUUCUCAGUGUUUCAUGGCACAGCUAUUGUAAAAUAUUGCAACUUUCGGCAUCCCUUACACACUUUGUAAAGGAUAAUUCGAUCCAUUUUCUAAGAGCGCGUACCCACCUGUCCCACUAGAUUAUUGCAAUAAUUGUUCUUUUUUUUUUUUUUUCCCUAAUAUAUUUCUAUUUGAAUUUUCCAAUUUGUUUUGGCUGCUAAAUUACAUUAAUGAUGAAAAUAUAAAAA